UUCAUUUAUUGGGCCACAAAAUGGAGGGUGAGCCCACAGCCCAGCCUACAUCACAGAUCAAAACCUCAGUCGUUUACUGGAAACACCCACAAGGAACCCUGACAUUCACCAAUCACAACCCUCCAACUCAGCCUUAGCUAGCUUACCUUACCCUAAUUUCUCCUCAGACUGUUUAGCUGUUGUGAUAUUGUAAUUUAUAAGAAAUAUAUAUACUUGGUCGUUCAGAUGACCAAAAUAUGUUCCUCAUUUUACUUGGUCUUCAUCCACAGUUGUCGCUUUCAGCUCCCCAAACCUUUGGAAUUUCCUUAGCAAUAAGAGCAAUACUCUUUUGUUAUAAUAUUUGGUCUCGUUCUCAGUUCCUGAAAACCCUUCAGAGCCAUAAAGGUGAAAUAAGUCUUGUUAUUAUUCAUAACAAGCCCCUUUUCACCACUUCUGGGUUAUGUUCGUGAGGUGAUUUUUGGAAAGCACUUAAGAAUGGGGGCUGGCUGCCAGGAAUAGAGGGGUGGAACUUUCAGUCCCACCUCCUGAUUUCUGGGUACGGGAGAGAGGCUAGAGGUUGUAUGAAUCACCGAUGGUCAAUGAGUUAAUCAAUCACGCCUAUUAAUGAAACCUCCAUAAAAACCCAAAAGGAGGAGGUUUGGAGAGCUUCCAGGUUAGGGAACCAGAACAUUUUUCAUGUUCUACCUUACCCAGCCCCAAACUCCAUGAGGACAGAAGCCCCUUUGUUUGGGACCUUGCCCUAUAUGUCUCCUCAUUUGGCUGUUGAUUCAAAUCCUUUAAUAUCCGUUGUAAUAAAUGGGUAAUGUAGGGAGUAAAUUUCCUGAGGUCUAUGAGCCGUUCUAGCAAAUUAAUCAAACCCAAGGAGGAGGUCAUGGAAACCCCCUGAUUUAUAGCCAGUGGGCCAGAAGGACAGGUAACAACCUAGGCUUGCCAUUGGCAUCUAAAAUAGAAGGUGGUCUUAUGGGACUGAGUUCUUUACCUGUAGAAUCUAGUGCUAUUCCCGGGUUCCAGAAUUGAGUUGAACUCUUGGGCACCUACUGGUGUCUGAGAAUUGCUUGUUGGUGCAGGGAACGCCCGCACCUCCACAACUCACAUGCACUUUGGAACUGGGUCCAGGAGCACAGAAAAGCUGUCUCUUACCGUCUCCCACCCCACUUCCACCCCAGCCUGCUCACCCUUUCCACUCUCCUGCUCAUGCCCUGGGAAUGAGUGCUCCCUGAGGUAUUUGGGUGAAACCAAUCUAGGGAGACCAAUCCAGCAGAACUGCCCCACUUGUAUCUAUAUUCUCUACGACAGAGCUAACAAUCCUGCUUUGUUUUUAGGUAACAUAAGCAUUGAGAAUUUACACAGGCCCGGCUCUCUGUAAAUAUUUUAGGUACAGAGCCUGACUUAAUUCUUCCAGUGGCCCUGCAGAGAUCAACAAACCUUCCCUUUAACUCAUGAGGGCAGUAAGACUCCGAGACAGCUACUUCAAGAACACACUGACGGAGCCAGAUGGGAAUUCAGUCUGCUUGACUCAGAAGUUUGUGCAUGUAAACAAUUCAGUGUAUAAUGGUGAGGAAAUUGAGGCUCAAAGAGUCUAUGUUACUUGCCCACAAUCAUAAAGCUAGUGAAUCGCGAAGCCAAGAUUCUUCAGGCCCUUGCUCUUAAUCUCUGGCUAUACUGUCUCCCAGAAAGGGAGGGAGGGAGGAUGACAGCCAAUGCCUGAUGCAAAGUGUGACUCUUUCACUUAGAGAAGAUGAGGGGAGGUUGGACUGGAUGGUCCCUCUGUUACCUCCAGAGUGUCUGAAAGCAGAACUGUAAAAUAAACUCUUGAGCUGCUAGGAAUGUGAUGGGAUUGACUCUGGAAACGUCUGUGAGCUGACUGUUCCAUGUGAAAGAAGAGCUGUAUCACCAUCUGGUGCACUGCCUGAAAGUCUUCACGUUCAGUCACCUAGAACCUUGGAAGGAUUUUCUCAUUGAAUUCUGAUACCCUCUGCCUUACAGACCAGGAAUCCGACUCAGAAGGACUGGGCAGCACACAUGGCCUUGGCCGCACACCCAGCAGUUCCCAGUCUACUGAUUCUUAUCGGAUUCACAUCAGCACCAUGAAUGCCUCACACCUGGCAGUAUCUCUCCCAACCCAACUAGAUUCCAAACUCAGCUUCCAAUGCAUGCAUCCAAUUAGCAAAAUCUAAAUCACACGUGAAUCUCUGGCUAAAGUUUAGUUAGGAAAAUGGGAGUUUUUCACAUUCAGUAUAGUUUUUCACUUUCUAGCCUCUGCCACCCAGGAAGGCAUAUUAGAAAACAACAAAAAAAAAUUGGAAUAGAUGCUGAGCAAACCAAUCAGAAUCUUGUCACAUAUAUCUAUCCCCCUUUGACCAUUUUCUCCGAAACCUUCCUCUCUUACCUCUAUACUACAUUCUAUUCCUGGAAAGAGUUGUCUGUUCCCGCUGUCUCCAAUUCCUAACCCCCCAUCCUUCCUUUGCUCACAGAGUAUGACUGUAUCCCUCUCAUAAUCAGUUCACAUCACAUGACCUUUUCCGUCUCCUUGCUUUGUCAUUCCCCCCCUUCCCCUUCCACUCCUCUUUAGCAUUCUACCAGUUCUGCAUUAGUACCUCACUCCUCCCAGUCUAAUUAUGCAGAUAAUCCCCCCAAACAUAAUCCCAGCUAUAAAAUCUUUCCCAGGUUUCCAACUGCAUCCUGAAAGUACCCACCUGAAUAGCACAAGCACCUCAAACUCAACAUGUUAAACCCGAUACUCAAGUCAUCUCACUUCCAAAAUCUGUUCUCCCUCCUGCAUUCUAUGUCUGUGUAAACUGCACAAAUUCACCCACUUACUGAAGUUGAUUUGAUUGUCCUCUUUCCCUUUCUAUUCCUAUAUUCAAUCUGUCCCUAAGACCAUAAAUUCAGUGGAAUCCUCUUACUGAGUUUAAUAGGUGCUCUUUAAAGAAAGACUUCAGACAUGCUCAUUCUAGCACUUUAUUGGAAAUUAGUUAGGUACAUCAAUGAAAUCAGAUCAACCUAAAAGCAUCAUUUUCACACAAUAAUAUCCCGAUAAUCUGUGCUAUCUUCUUACAUAAUUUAACAAAUCCCCAGAUGCUCCUUAUUUCGGUCAAAGAGCUUGAGUGGUCCAGAAAUCUCUCUAUACAUAUAAAUAUAAAUUGUAGCAUUUAAAAUAAACAUCAUUGUUUGAGUUAGUUCCAAA